GAAGUCGUACAGGUUUCCGUAGGUGAACCUGCGGAAGGAUCAUUG
rnacentral:rRNA from 1 species